AAUCAACGCUGGCGGCGUGCCUCAGACAUGCAAGUCGAACGCGAAAGGCUCCUUCGGGGGCCGAGUAGAGUGGCGCACGGGUGAGUAACACGUAGGUAAUUUGCCUUUGGGUGGGGAAUAACUCAGGGAAACUUGAGCUAAUACCGCAUAAUGCAGCGGCUCGACAUCGAGACAGUUGUUAAAGCGGGGGAUCGCAAGACCUCGCGCCUGAAGAGAAGCCUGCGGCAGAUUAGCUAGUUGGUAGGGUAAUGGCCUACCAAGGCGACGAUCUGUAACCGGCCUGAGAGGGCGGUCGGUCACACUGACACUGACAUACGGGUCAGACUCCUACGGGAGGCAGCAGUCGGGAAUUUUGGGCAAUGGGCGCAAGCCUGACCCAGCAACGCCGCGUGAAGGAUGAAAUCCCU
rnacentral:rRNA from 1 species